UAAUGCUCUGAGCCAGAAUCAUCUGGUGGCACAGGCUGACAUAGGAAUAUGUUUUUCAGCUGAAAUGAGCAAGCGGCUGCAGCUGUCACCACAGCAACGGUGUGGCUGAAACCCUUGGGAGCCUUCAGCUGACGGAAAGAAGAGUUCUGAGAAGCUGAAGCAAGUAAUACUCUUCUCACAUGGUCAAUAGACCCAGUUUCUUCCCAGUAACACAGGGGUACUCAAGACAGAAGUCAACCAACCUCACCUCCAACAGAUUACUUAAAAGAAUGGAUUUGGAAAAUACACGGUCACUCUUUCAUCUGUUCUUCUUCAUCUUUCCCUGGUGUGUCUAGAGGUGUGAGGUGAGAAAAUAAAAUAUUUUGUGGGUGACAGACUCGUAGUUCUGUGCUUCAUUGUAAUCUAGCCUACGUUUUCUAUCCAACACAGGGUCAAAAAAACAAGCUUAGGGAAAAGAAGGAAUGAGCUGUGUUUGUUUUAGGUAUUUAAUAGUUCUUUGUUGGUUUGCAUGCUGAAG